CCUACGGGAGGCAGCAGUAGGGAAUAUUGCUCAAUGGGGGAAACCCUGAAGCAGCCACGCCGCGUGGAGGAUGAAGGUUUUCGGAUUGUAAACUCCUUUUGUUAGAGAAGAUAAUGACGUUAUCUAACGAAUAAUCAACGGCUAAUUCCGUGCCAGCAGCCGCGGUAAUACGGCGGGGGCCAGCGUUAAUCGGAAUGACUGGGCGUUAAGAGCGCGUAGGCGGGAUAGCAAGUCAGAUGGGAAAUCCUAUGGCUUAACCAGAGAACUGCAUUGGAAACUGUUGUUCUAGAGUAUGGGAGAGGUAGGUGGAAUUCGUGGUGUAGGGGUGAAAUCCGUAGAGAUCAAGAGGAAUACUCAUUGCGAAGGCGACCUGCUAGAACAUAACUGACGCUGAUGCGCGAAAGCGUGGGGAGCGAACAGGAUUAGAUACCCUGGUAGUC
rnacentral:rRNA from 1 species